GGUAACGGUGUUUGUCACCACCGGUGAGGAAAGAAAGAAGGGAGGACACUGUUCAUAUCCUUUGGUUUUUUUGUUGUGGUGUAUAAACCCACUUGCCGCCACUGUUCCUGCAUUGCUAGAAGCCUUCGUAGUAGUUUUCUUGAUUUUUAGGGCUAUUACAUAAUUCUUUAUUUGUGUGAUGUGUUGUUUGUUUUAUUUAAAUUUUUGUUAUUUGUAAUUAUAUAUGGGUGUAUGAGAAAAACAUAAUAGAAAAAGA
rnacentral:lncRNA from 1 species